rnacentral:rRNA from 1 species
AUGAACGCUAGCUACAGGCUUAACACAUGCAAGUCGAGGGGCAGCAUGGUCUUAGCUUGCUAAGACUGAUGGCGACCGGCGCACGGGUGAGUAACACGUAUCUAACCUGCCGUCUACUCUUGGACAGCCUUCUGAAAGGAAGAUUAAUACAAGAUGGCAUCAUGAGUCCGCAUGUUCACAUGAUUAAAGGUAUUCCGGUAGACGAUGGGGAUGCGUUCCAUUAGAUAGUAGGCGGGGUAACGGCCCACCUAGUCUUCGAUGGAUAGGGGUUCUGAGAGGAAGGUCCCCCACAUUGGAACUGAGACACGGUCCAAACUCCUACGGGAGGCAGCAGUGAGGAAUAUUGGUCAAUGGGCGAGAGCCUGAACCAGCCAAGUAGCGUGAAGGAUGACUGCCCUAUGGGUUGUAAACUUCUUUUAUAAAGGAAUAAAGUCGGGUAUGGAUACCCGUUUGCAUGUACUUUAUGAAUAAGGAUCGGCUAACUCCGUGCCAGCAGCCGCGGUAAUACGGAGGAUCCGAGCGUUAUCCGGAUUUAUUGGGUUUAAAGGGAGCGUAGAUGGAUGUUUAAGUCAGUUGUGAAAGUUUGCGGCUCAACCGUAAAAUUGCAGUUGAUACUGGAUAUCUUGAGUGCAGUUGAGGCAGGCGGAAUUCGUGGUGUAGCGGUGAAAUGCUUAGAUAUCACGAAGAACUCCGAUUGCGAAGGCAGCCUGCUAAGCUGCAACUGACAUUGAGGCUCGAAAGUGUGGGUAUCAAACAGGAUUAGAUACCCUGGUAGUCCACACGGUAAACGAUGAAUACUCGCUGUUUGCGAUAUACUGCAAGCGGCCAAGCGAAAGCGUUAAGUAUUCCACCUGGGGAGUACGCCGGCAACGGUGAAACUCAAAGGAAUUGACGGGGGCCCGCACAAGCGGAGGAACAUGUGGUUUAAUUCGAUGAUACGCGAGGAACCUUACCCGGGCUUAAAUUGCAGAUGAAUUACGGUGAAAGCCGUAAGCCGCAAGGCAUCUGUGAAGGUGCUGCAUGGUUGUCGUCAGCUCGUGCCGUGAGGUGUCGGCUUAAGUGCCAUAACGAGCGCAACCCUUGUUGUCAGUUACUAACAGGUUCCGCUGAGGACUCUGACAAGACUGCCAUCGUAAGAUGUGAGGAAGGUGGGGAUGACGUCAAAUCAGCACGGCCCUUACGUCCGGGGCUACACACGUGUUACAAUGGGGGGUACAGAGGGCCGCUACCACGCGAGUGGAUGCCAAUCCCCAAAACCUCUCUCAGUUCGGACUGGAGUCUGCAACCCGACUCCACGAAGCUGGAUUCGCUAGUAAUCGCGCAUCAGCCACGGCGCGGUGAAUACGUUCCCGGGCCUUGUACACACCGCCCGUCAAGCCAUGGGAGCCGGGGGUACCUGAAGUGCGUAACCGCGAGGAGCGCCCUAGGGUAAAACUGGUGACUGGGGCU